GAUCGACUCAGUGGAGGGCCACCGGUCGCGCCCGUCGGUGGACUGGCGCUUCGACUUGUUGA
rnacentral:sRNA from 1 species